rnacentral:rRNA from 1 species
GACGAACGCUGGCGGCGUGCCUAAUACAUGCAAGUUGAGCGCUGAAGGUUGGUACUUGUACCAACUGGAUGAGCAGCGAACGGGUGAGUAACGCGUGGGGAAUCUGCCUUUGAGCGGGGGACAACAUUUGGAAACGAAUGCUAAUCCCGCAUAAAAACUUUAAACACAAGUUUUAAGUUUGAAAGAUGCAAUUGCAUCACUCAAAGAUGAUCCCGCGUUGUAUUAGCUAGUUGGUGAGGUAAAGGCUCACCAAGGCGAUGAUACAUAGCCGACCUGAGAGGGUGAUCGGCCACAUUGGGACUGAGACACGGCCCAAACUCCUACGGGAGGCAGCAGUAGGGAAUCUUCGGCAAUGGACGAAAGUCUGACCGAGCAACGCCGCGUGAGUGAAGAAGGUUUUCGGAUCGUAAAACUCUGUUGGUAGAGAAGAACGUUGGUGAGAGUGGAAAGCUCAUCAAGUGACGGUAACUACCCAGAAAGGGACGGCUAACUACGUG